GACGAACGCUGGCGGCGUGCCUAAUACGUGCAAGUCGAACGAGAGCGACCGGUGCUUGCACUGGUCAAUCUAGUGGCGAACGGGUGAGUAACACGUGGGUAACCUGCCCAUCAGAGGGGGAUAACAUCCGGAAACGGAUGCUAAAACCGCAUAGGUCUUCGAGCCGCAUGGCUUGAAGAGGAAAAGAGGCGCAAGCUUCUGCUGAUGGAUGGACCCGCGGUGCAUUAGCUAGUUGGUGAGGUAACGGCUCACCAAGGCCGUGAUGCAUAGCCGACCUGAGAGGGUGAUCGGCCACAUUGGGACUGAGACACGGCCCAAACUCCUACGGGAGGCAGCAGUAGGGAAUCUUCCGCAAUGGACGCAAGUCUGACGGAGCAACGCCGCGUGAGUGAAGAAGGUUUUCGGAUCGUAAAACUCUGUUGUUAGAGAAGAACAAGUGCUAGAGUAACUGUUAGCGCCUUGACGGUAUCUAACCAGAAAGCCACGGCUAACUACGUG
rnacentral:rRNA from 1 species